GUGCUAAGGUAGCAUAAUAAUUUGUCUCUUAAUUUGAGAAUAGUAUGAAUGAAAAAACAAUAAGAAAGCUGUCUCACCGCAAACCAUAAAAAUUUAUACAAAGGUGAAAAAGCCUUUAUACAUCAAAAAGACAAAAAGACCCUAGAAGCUUUUAAAUUUAUAUCAUAAAUUAAUUAAAAUUUUUUAGCUGGGAGGGCAUAAAGUAUAUAAAACACUUUAAACUUAACAGAGCACUAAUCACCUUCUAUCAACCCCAAUAAGAAUACAAGUAAGCUACUCUAGGGGUAACAGGCUAAUACUCCUUAAGAGUACAUAUUGACAGGAGUGUUUGGCACCUCGAUGUUGGCUUAGGAAACUUAUUUUAUGCAGAAGUAAAAUCAAGGGGUUUGUUCAACCCAUAUCAUCCUACAUG
rnacentral:rRNA from 1 species